AUACUAUGAUGGUUGCAUAGUUCAGCAGAUUGAAUAGUGAAGAAAUUAACCAUUUGUCUGAUAUAUCU
ensembl:snoRNA